UACGGAGGGGGCUAGCGUUGUUCGGAAUUACUGGGCGUAAAGCGCACGUAGGCGGACUGUUAAGUCGGGGGUGAAAUCCUGGGGCUCAACCUCAGAAUUGCCUCCGAUACGGGCAGACUAGAGUUCGGCAGGGGAGACUGGAAUUCCUGGUGUAGCGGUGAAAUGCGCAGAUAUCAGGAGGAACACCGGUGGCGAAGGCGGGUCUCUGGGCCGAUACUGACGCUGAGGAGCGAAAGCGUGGGGAGCGAACAGG
rnacentral:rRNA from 1 species